GACAGAGGGUGCGAACGUUGCUCGGAAUUACUGGGCGUAAAGCGCGUGUAGGCGGAUGCGCAAGUCCGUUGUGAAAUCCCUGGGCUCAACCCAGGAACUGCAUCGGAAACUGCACAUCUUGAGUAAUGGAGAGGGAAGUGGAAUUCCCGGUGUAGAGGUGAAAUUCGUAGAUAUCGGGAGGAACACCAGUGGCGAAGGCGGCUUCCUGGACAUUUACUGACGCUGGGACGCGAAAGCGUGGGGAGCAAACAGG
rnacentral:rRNA from 1 species